CAGUCGAGCGGACAGAUGGGAGCUUGCUCCCUGAUGUUAGCGGCGGACGGGUGAGUAACACGUGGGUAACCUGCCUGUAAGACUGGGAUAACUCCGGGAAACCGGGGCUAAUACCGGAUGGUUGUUUGAACCGCAUGGUUCAAACAUAAAAGGUGGCUUCGGCUACCACUUACAGAUGGACCCGCGGCGCAUUAGCUAGUUGGUGAGGUAACGGCUCACCAAGGCAACGAUGCGUAGCCGACCUGAGAGGGUGAUCGGCCACACUGGGACUGAGACACGGCCCAGACUCCUACGGGAGGCAGCAGUAGGGAAUCUUCCGCAAUGGACGAAAGUCUGACGGAGCAACGCCGCGUGAGUGAUGAAGGUUUUCGGAUCGUAAAGCUCUGUUGUUAGGGAAGAACAAGUACCGUUCGAAUAGGGCGGUACCUUGACGGUACCUAACCAGAAAGCCACGGCUAACUACGUGCCAGCAGCCGCGGUAAUACGUAGGUGGCAAGCGUUGUCCGGAAUUAUUGGGCGUAAAGGGCUCGCAGGCGGUUUCUUAAGUCUGAUGUGAAAGCCCCCGGCUCAACCGGGGAGGGUCAUUGGAAACUGGGGAACUUGAGUGCAGAAGAGGAGAGUGGAAUUCCACGUGUAGCGGUGAAAUGCGUAGAGAUGUGGAGGAACACCAGUGGCGAAGGCGACUCUCUGGUCUGUAACUGACGCUGAGGAGCGAAAGCGUGGGGAGCGAACAGGAUUAGAUACCCUGGUAGUCCACGCCGUAAACGAUGAGUGCUAAGUGUUAGGGGGUUUCCGCCCCUUAGUGCUGCAGCUAACGCAUUAAGCACUCCGCCUGGGGAGUACGGUCGCAAGACUGAAACUCAAAGGAAUUUGACGGGGGCCCGCACA
rnacentral:rRNA from 1 species